AGCUUUGCACAGUGGCAGUAUCGUAGCCAAUGAGGUUUAUCUGAAGCGCGAUUAUUGCUAAUUAAAAAGGAAGGGUGGGAAGAGAAGAGAGAACUCCAGAAGAAAGUGAAGUCUUGAGCCAUGCAUGAUGGCCCACACUUGUAAUCCCAGAACUGGG
rnacentral:snRNA from 14 species